UCCAUUUCGCAGCGUCCUGUAUGUAUAUAUACCGCGUGCACGACGCGAACGUCGCGGAGUCACACUCCCUUCUUCGCGCAUGACGCGUAAAAAGGGUACAUCUCAUCAUUUAUAUUCAAGAAACUUACCGUUUACGGAGCAUAUAGACGGGCAGCGAUUUUCUUCGCUGAUGAUUUUCGCGGAACACGACGGCGCUGGGCCGCUUCAUAGCUAAUUUGGACGACUUCCCCAUUGCGCUGUAUUUGGGAUCCGCGUCGUCGUGGACCCUCAUCUCGCCGCGAACCACUCGGAAUGCCGGACGAUGCACGUACACGCGUAUGUACCACUUGCAGCUUACAGCACGACCAAGCACGUCAAGCACGUCAAGCACGUGUUGCGCGUUACAGCUGUUCCGUACUCACUGUCCGCAUGUCCUACUCCUAUUGGCGUCUCGGCGCGCGCAUCCGGAAUCCGGAACACCACUGUGCCAAGUAUCGAGUUAGAAAUUUUUACAUACGUCGAACGCUUGUGUGCUACGCAGAUAAAGAAUACUUGGCGUUACGCAUUUCCGGAAAAGAAAGUACCGCUUUUCUGUGUAUAAAAAUCUAUAUUUUUUAGAAUAGUAAAUAUAAUUUUUUGUAAUGUUUAAGACAUUGAAUUUUUAAUUUAAUAUAAAAAAAAUGUUUUACAUAAUAUAUAAAUACAUAAUGUGUUUUAUGUUAAAUAUUUUAUAUAAAAUAUUUAUUAAUUUUUAUAUUAAAAAAAAAAUUAAAGUAUAUACUUCAUAUUUUACAAAUCUAGUUUUCAGAAAGGAUUUUUCAGGCUCUAUAAAAUUUCGUGAUUAUUAUUUUCAUUUUUUUACAAAACUUAUACGUAUAUAUAAUUAUCCAAAAUUAUAUGAAGCUUAAUUUUAUUUAAAAUUGGAUUAAAAAAUUACCUGUUUUUCAUACAAAUAUAUAUAAAUUUGUAUCUUUCGCUUUUUUCUUUAUUAAUUAUAUUGAUGUAUUCAUCAUGCUUACGAUUAAGAAAUUUCAAAGAAUGUAAAUGAACUUCUCAAUCAGUAAUUUUAUGAUUAUAUAUUUUUCCAUUGUUAUCAACGCACUGGUAUUUGAUUCAUGAUUGGUAAUAUUUCGAACAUUUUUCAUCAUGAAAAACAGAGGUAUGAGUUAAAAAAAACCAGAGUCCGCGAAUUAUCAGUCCUCUGUGACUAAUGAUACUAAAUUUAAUGCCAACAUCGACGUGCACACCAGCUUUUAUCAUGUGUCAUGAGUAAUGUAUUCCGACAUCGUAUUCCGUCGAAAUUAACUGGUCACAAAGAAAAGAGAAAGAGUUGAAAAAAACUUUAAAAACAUUGCAAAUAUUAAAACAUAAAAAAGAUUAAAAAGUGAAAUGAUAAACAAUUUUUUUUUAUACAAUCAUUUCAUUGAAAUUAUUAAAAAGAACAAUGGUCAGAGAUCAAACAUUUAUUAUAAUAUUACAUCAAUAUAUAAUAUAUCAAUUUAUAUAUUACACGUCAAGUAUCUUAUGAACAAGUAACUUCGCAACGCUUAUCUCUUUUUAGAGGUAGAGAUCAAUGAUUUACACUCCACAAUCAUCAUUGAUAAAAGAUAUAAUUGUGACAUCGCCAUAAAAAUUAAUAAAAGUUUCAAUAUAACACAUAUUAUGCAAUGUUGUAAUAUCGACAGCGAUCGAGUCUAUCAAAACACGGCCACGAUACAAUUAAAAAAGAUCUUGAAUAGAACUGCGUCACGAAAUUAUCACAGAUCAAGCUGUGUGUAAUAGGAA